UGGGGUGAGGUGGCUGAGGUGUUCUUCUAAAAAAGCCAGCUCUUGUCACCUGGGUGAAUGUGGACCUUGUGCAGAUGUUUUGGGUGUCUUCUGGGAGAAGCAAUGCUCAAAUGCAUGCCUUCAUCUGUGUUGAUUGACAGCUGUGCCCUACACACAGUACUAGAGAAGGACAUGCUUGCCUCACCAUUAUUAGGACGCGCCACUUCCAGAUAAUACAAAUGAAGAUUGGGAGGAUGUUUCCUAUCACUAAGUUUGCUAAACCAAAGGCCUCUGAAAUCUAUUCCAUUCUCUCAAGCAUGGGAAAUGGAGCUUGAGUGAAGGUCGUAGCUGGCUGUCAGAAGCACAUAUUAAGUACUUAUCGUCUCCAACCAAGUUUCUGGAAUCUGGACUUCUUCCAUGAAACCCAUGUCUGCAUUUGACAGUUACUGGGAUUUUCAUAAAGUUAACUGGACCUGAUAGAAGAGAUGCUGCCAAAAAUGAAGGAUCUGUUCAUGUCACUGAAAUAUCUGGUUGGAUUUGGAGAGAAGAUUUUAUUUCUUUUAAAAUUUAGCCCUUUUCUUUUUGCCCUCAGGAAUUUGCUCCAGAGGAGUGGUGUUCUAGGACUGGGGAAUGCUCCAGAGGACCUGCCUAGACUUUCACAGGAAGUCUGCUUAUAAGCAACCUCAUACUGCCUCAGUGAACUGGGAACCCCUUCUUCCCACCACCACCAAAAAAAAAGCAGACACUAAUAUAUAGAAAGUAUUAAGCUAAGGGAAAUAAUUUUCCAAAUGUUACUUAAAGAAUAAUGCAAAUAAUCUGAAAAAAAAAAGAGGAUAUUUGCUAACUUUUUAAUGUGCAUUUCAACUAUAAAAAUAUCUUCUAAGAUAAGAGUUGCAAUUUGUUGUGAAAGAAUAAAAUAUUUUUU